rnacentral:lncRNA from 1 species
GGGGGCUGAGCCUCUGUCGCAAGAGGGUUUGUUCAGCCUGGAGACAGGGGAUGGGUUUCCCUUGGGGCUGGGGAAUCUCUAGAAGACGCAGCCUCAGAGGCGUAGGCUGGUCAAGUGGGCGAUGAGUUGUGAGCAGUGACUUGAAGCUGUCCUGGUCACUGAGCCACUAACUCAACGUCCCAGGUUCCUUCCAGCCUGCCCGUGUGAGGCAAGACUUCAAACGCGGGGGCUCCGGGAGCUGGCGUGACCUUUUGCUGAUUAGCUCGCGCUGUUUGCUCGGCAGCCGCCAGCUGAUCUCUGGACGGCGGCUCAACACACCAGCCACAGCCGCCUGUCACCCUCCGGCAGAUAAAUAACUGCUCCUGGAGAGGUGGGGGAGGGGAGCCGGGCGUGCGGCAGUGUUGGGGGAGCGGCUGCACGCAGCAUGCGGGGAUUGGUGAGGUGGCCUUGGGCGAGUCGCUGGGAUGCCAGCCCUGCAUUUCAGCAGCACCUCUGCCAGCAAGGGCAUCGCUCCCACUCCCCAGAGAGGGAAACUGAGACCUACGAAGGGGAAGGGGCUUGCAGACAGGGUCUGGGCUCACCUCUCUGGGCUCCCAGGCCCUACUGUCUUGAACAGGCCUCUACCUCCUAUCAUAGCCGCCGGCCCACCCCCGGCCUCUCUCCCUGGUGCUGAACGAGUCCAGCCAAGGUCACCCAGGGUCACAGGAUACCAGAGAGCCCCUUCUAAAGUCUCAAUCACUGCCUGGAUAAAAGCAACUUCUAGGGACCAGGCCUUGAAUGCAGGAAUGGAGGAGAGGGGCAGAGGUGUUAGAAGCUGGGAAACUUCAACUCGCUGAAUGACAAAAGGAUGUCCCUAGAAGGGAUCUCGGAAACAAUGCGUCCCAUCCCCAAGUUCCUGAGGAAGACCAGCGAAGCAGCUGCCUCCAACAUCAGACCGCACAGGAGCCAGGGCCCAUCUGUCUUACCACCUGCCUUCUGAGGUGGGCCGGGCUGGGAAGCGUCCCAUCUACUUAUUCAACAAACGUUUAUGCACCGUCUCCCACCUGCCGGGCUCUGAGGCUCACAGCACAGAGUCAGCAGCGUGGAGCUGAUGCAAGAGAGAAGACAGAGAUUUCAUGCCUGGAGAGGAUUCUGGAGGCUACGGGGCUGGGGUGAUCCCACCAGGCUGCAGUGAGCCUGAAGGAGCCUCAACUUGGGCUGGGAUGGAAGGACAGGCAUCUCUGGGAGGAAGGCACAAACUAACACGGAUGGAGCAUCGGUGUUCUGGAGACUGCUGAGUUCCCAUUCCAUGCUCAGGGCAAUGCCCAGUGUGGUUGAAUGAGCACCUACUUGAUGCCAGGCAGUCUACACAUCCCACUGAAGGCUUCCCUCCCGGGAGGGGCCUUAUUUUCCCUAUUUUAUAGAUAAAAUGUGGGCAGGGACUUGAAGCUGUCCUGAUAAAAGAUGAGAGAUAAAAGAGGGAGGUCAGAGGUAGAAAUGACUUGCACAGCAUUUCACAUCCAAAACCCAGCAGGACAGAGGUGGUCUGACGUUUAAAAAGGAAAGAAAGCCUAGGUGUGGUGGCUCACGCCUGUAAUCCCAGCACUUUGGGAGGCUGAGGCGGGCUGAUCACUUGAGGUCAGGAGUUUGAGACCAGCCUGGCCAACACGGCAAAACCCCGUCACUACUGAAAAUAUAAAAAUUAACCGGGCAUGGCAGCAGGUGCCUGUAAUCCCAGCUACUUGGGAGGCUGAGGCAGGAGAAUCACUUGAAAAUUGGAGGCAGAGCUUGCAGUCAGCCGAGAUUGCACCACUGCACUCCAGCCUAGGCGACAGGGCAAGAUUACAAAAAAAAAAAAAA